rnacentral:rRNA from 1 species
AUUGAACGCUGGCGGCAGGCCUAACACAUGCAAGUCGAACGAGUGGCGGACGGGUGAGUAAUGUCUGGGAAACUGCCUGAUGGAGGGGGAUAACUACUGGAAACGGUAGCUAAUACCGCAUACCAUCGGAUGUGCCCAGAUGUGAUUAUCUAGUAGGUGGGGUAACGGCUCACCUAGGAGACGAUCCCUAGCUGGUCUGAGAGGAUGACCAGGCACCCUUCAACUGCGAAACGGUCCAGAGACCUAAGGUAGGUAACAGUGGUGAAUAUGGCACAAUAGGCGCAAGCCUGAUGCAGCCAUGACGCGUGUAUGAAGAAGGCCUUCGUGUUGUAAAGUACUUUCAGCGGUGAGGCGUGACACGCAGAAGAAGCACCGGCUACCUCCGUGCCAGCAGCCGCGGUAACUC